CGAUUGAUCAGAUACCGUCGUAGUCUCAACCAUAAACUAUGUGGACCAACGAUCCGAGGAAGUUACAUGGAUGACUCUCCGGGCAGUUUGUGAGAAAUCAUAAGUAUUUGCAUUCCGGGGGGAGUAUGGUCGCAAGGCUGAAACUUAAAGGAAUUGACGGAAGGGCACCACCAGGAGUGGAACCUGCGGCUUAAUUUGACUCAACACGGGGAAACUUACCAGGUCCGGACACAGUUAGGAUUGACAGAUUGAGAGCUCUUUCUUGAUUCUGUGGGUGGUGGUGCAUGGCCGUUUUUAGUUGGUGGAGUGAUUUGUCUGGUUAAUUCCGUUAACGAACGAGACCUUAACCUAUUAAUUAGUUAUGCGAUCAUGAGCUUCGGCUCUUUCCGAUCGUGGACAACUUCUUAGAGGGACUCUCGGCAUCUCUAGCCGAUGGAAGUUUGAGGCUAAAACAGGUCUGUGAUGCCCUUAGAUGUCCUGGGCCGCACGCGCGUUACACUGACGAAUGCAACGAGUUCUUCCUUCUCCGAUGGGAGUGGGUAAGCUUUUCAAAGUUCGUCGUGAUGGGGAUUGAACCUUGCAAUUAUUGUUCAUGAACGAGGAAUUCCUAGUAAGCGCAGUUCAUCAAACUGCGUUGAUUACGUCCCUGCCCUUUGUACACACCGCCCGUCGCUAGUACCGAUUGAAUGGUCCGGUGAGGAUUCAGGAUGGCAGAACUUUAGCUUGCCCGAAAGGGUAAGCGGGUUCAGCCAGAAUCUGUUCAAACCGUGCCAUUUAGAGGAACUAAAAGUCGUAACAAGGUUUCCGUAGGUGAACCUGCAGAAGGAUGA
rnacentral:rRNA from 1 species